AUUGAACGCUGGCGGCAGGCCUAACACAUGCAAGUCGAGCGAGCGGCGGACGGGUGAGUAAUGUAUGGGGACUUCCCGAUAGAGGGGGAUAACUACUGGAAACGGUAGCUAAUACCGCAUACUAUCGGAUAACCCAUAGGGGUUGAGCUAGUAGGUGAGGUAAUGGCCCACCUAGGCGACGAUCCCUAGCUGGUCUGAGAGGAUGAUCAGCCACACAGAGACGGAGACACGGCCCAGAAUCCUACGGAGGCAGAAGUGGGGAAUAUUGCACAAUGGGCGCAAGCCUGAUGCAGCCAGGCCGCGUGUAUGAAGAAGGCCCUAGGGUUGUAAAGUACUUUCAGUCGGGAGGCGUUACCGACAGAGGAAGCAACGGCUAACUCCGUGCCAGCAGCCGCGGUAAUUC
rnacentral:rRNA from 1 species